AUGGUGAACUCCAACUACUCGGCGCUCCCGCUCACCUCCACCGCCAUCGAGCUGCAGUCAAGCCAGCCGCCGCCGCAUCCCAAAUCUGGCGCCUCCACCAACGGCCACGCCAAGCUCACCAAGCAGGACUCGUUCCUCGGCGAGGUCGAUGACGACGACGCCGCCACCAACGCCGGCGAGCACGACUCACUGCCGCUCAUCGGCGACGACGGCCCCUCCGGCCCGCCGGAGGGCUCGGGGGUCUACGGCGCGGUGUUCAACCUGGCGACCUCCAUCAUCGGGGCGGGCAUCAUGGCGCUACCGGCGACCAUGAAGGUGCUCGGCGUGGCCGUGGGGCUCGUCUCCAUCCUCGUCAUGGGGCUCCUCUCCGAGGUCACCAUCGAGCUGCUCGUCCGGUUCGCGGUGCGCUGCCGCGCGCUCUCCUACGGCGAGCUCGUGCACCGCGCGCUCGGCCGCCCCGCCAGCGUCGUCGCGCAGCUCUGCAUCGUCGUCAACAACGCCGGCAUCCUCGUGGUGUACCUCAUCAUCAUCGGGGACGUCAUGUCCGGGUCGCUCAAGCACAUGGGCGUCAUGGACCAGCUCGUCGGCCACGGCGAGUGGGACAACCGCAGGCUGCUCAUCCUGUUCGUCCUCGUGGUGUUCCUCGCGCCGCUGUGCGCGCUGGAGAAGAUCGACUCGCUGAGCCUGUCGUCCGCCGCGUCCGUCGGGCUCGCCGUUGUUUUUGUGGCCGUCUCGUGCAUGAUCGCCGCGGUGAAGCUCGUCGAGGGCAAGCUCGCCGCGCCGAGGAUGGGGCCGGAUUUCAGCUCGAAGGCGGCGAUCCUCGACCUUCUCGUGGUGAUACCCAUCAUGACCAACGCCUACAUCUGCCAUUUCAACGUGCAGCCCAUCUACAACGAGCUCAAGGAGAAGACGCCUCAGAACAUGUACAACGUCGGCCGGAUCUCCACCGUGCUCUGCGUCGUCGUGUACGCGCUGACCGCCAUCUCGGGGUACCUCCUGUUCGGCGACGACACCGAGUCCGACGUGCUCACCAACUUCGACAAGGACCUCGGGAUCAAGUUCAGCACGGCGCUCAACUACAUUGUGAGGAUCGGGUACAUCGUCCACCUGGUCCUCGUCUUCCCGGUGGUCCACUUCUCGCUGAGGCAGACGGUGGACUCGCUGGUGUUCGGGGAGCUCGCGCCCCACAGCAGGAAGAGGAUGCUCUCCCUGACGGUGGUGCUGCUGGCCCUCAUCUACCUCGGCUCCACCAUGAUACCCAACAUCUGGAUGGCCUUCAAGUUCACCGGCGCGACCACGGGGCUGGCAUUAGGUUUCAUGUUCCCCGCCCUUGUCGCAUUGAGGCUGGACAAGGAGGGGGAGUGCCUGGGCCGCGGAGAGAGGCUCCUGUCGGUCGGAAUGCUGGGGCUGGCCAUCGUCGUCAGCGUCGUCGGGGUCGUCGGAAACGUGUACAGCCUGAGGAGCAAGUCUGAGUGA
rnacentral:rRNA from 1 species